AUUGAACGCUGGCGGCAGGCCUAACACAUGCAAGUCGAGCGGAUGAAGGGAGCUUGCUCCUGGAUUCAGCGGCGGACGGGUGAGUAAUGCCUAGGAAUCUGCCUGGUAGUGGGGGAUAACGUCCGGACACGGGCGCUAAUACCGCAUACGUCCUUAGGGAGAAAGUGGGGGAUCUUCGGACCUCACGCUAUCAGAUGAGCCUAGGUCGGAUUAGCUAGUUGGUGGGGUAAAGGCCUACCAAGGCGACGAUCCGUAACUGGUCUGAGAGGAUGAUCAGUCACACUGGAACUGAGACACGGUCCAGACUCCUACGGGAGGCAGCAGUGGGGAAUAUUGGACAAUGGGCGAAAGCCUGAUCCAGCCAUGCCGCGUGUGUGAAGAAGGUCUUCGGACUGUAAAGCACUUUAAGUUGGGAGGAAGGGCAGUAAGUUAAUACCUUGCUGUUUUGACGUUACCAACAGAAUAAGCACCGGCUAACUUCGUG
rnacentral:rRNA from 1 species